AAGUAUUUUAAAUAGAAAAAUAAAAGGAGAAACCCCAUCUUCUUACCCAUGACCGGCUGCUUCUUUUUGAGAAGGGAAAGUCUUUCAUUUUUUGUACUUUUUUCAUUCCUCAUCAAAUUUAAUCAUAAGGUCAAAUUAGGAUUUCUUAGUAAUAUCAAGUAGGAAACCAAUUUCUAAGUUCAUUUUCAUCUACCAUCUCAUUUCUCAAAACUUAGAGUUUAUGAGUUUAGUGAGAUAAAGCCAUGACUAGAGGGAGAAAACUCCAAGAAAGAAAUGUUGGAUGGAUGGAGAGGGUAAUUUUUAGUGAAUAAUUGGAUGGAUUGAAGUGUUGAGAAAGCAUGAGGAAGCCUUGUGGUGAAACUUUUACUACGAAUGAGGUAAGUACUUUGCAUUCUCUUAACUUCCCCUCAAUAAAAUAAUUAAGGAAGUUGUUAAAAUGAUGUAAUAAAGUAUAUAAUGACUAUGUAUGUUUAAAAUGUGAUUGAGAAUAUAUGAGAAAAAUAAUAGUUUAACAAGUUGUGAUAAUUAGAAGGAACAUGUUGGAAUAUAUGAAUUUGGCUUAAUGGCAUUAAAAUUUGGGUUAGGAGUGUCAAAAGAAUUAUUGCUAUACCAUAAUGUAGAGAAAUGUGGAUUAUUGCUAAAAUGAACUAAAGGUUGAAUUUUUUUUAUAAAAAAUCUUAAUGAGUGAGAAUGAGGAAGUCAAAAAAGUGCAUGGUGUUUAUAUAUGAAUGUGGAAAUUAUUGAUGAGAGCAUUAAGUGCUUGAAUAGCUUAUAAAUUGAAUAUGUGAGAUUUAAAUGUAAGAUAAUGAAUGGAUGCUCAAAGAGUUUCAAUUAUGUGAUUUGGAUAUAUGCUUUAUAUAGUAGAACAUUAUAUAUCUCUAUGUGAGAACCAUGCUUUAUGAGGUAACAUGCUAUUUGGAAAUGGCAUAAGUGAUUAAUAUGUGUAAUGCCUUAAUAAAUUUAGUAAUUAGUGAGGAUACAAUUAAUUGUAACAUGGCAAAUAAUGCACUUUAAAAGUAAGUAAGACAAAAUAGGUAAGCACCCUUAUAUAUUGGAAAUAAAUGAAAAAUAAAUCUCAAGGGCCUUGAGUACUAAUGUUGUGCUACAAAGAAAUACAGAAUGAAAUGUCCUUAACAUAUGGUUUUAAGUGAACUCUUGCAUAAAACUUAUAAAAGAGUCAAGCAACUAAGAUUAAGACAAUUUAGGAUAAUCUACGAGUACUUAUUAAGCUCUCGAGCUUAACGCGUUAGUUGUUUAGCAUAGGUGAAAAUUGUUCUAUGAAGAUUGAACUAGUGGCUUGGAGAUAUUACAUCACCACUUGAAGAAAAAACUUGUGAUAUUGUCUUAGAAUUUGUAGUAAAAUGACAUGUAAUAAAGACUUAGUCCCUUAUAAAGAGUUGUAAUUUUUUAUUUUAUGCCGAUAAAGGGCAAUGUUUUUUAAUUCAAUGACUGUUGAGCAUCUUCUUAAGAAUGCGAGUUCUAUGUUGAAUGAUGGUUUUAAAUCCCAUUUAAAUGUGUUCUAAA